rnacentral:rRNA from 1 species
CCUACGGGAGGCAGCAGUGAGGAAUAUUGGUCAAUGGACGCAAGUCUGAACCAGCCAUGCCGCGUGCAGGAAGACGGCUCUAUGAGUUGUAAACUGCUUUUGUACGAGGGUAAACGCAGAUACGCGUAUCUGUCUGAAAGUAUCGUACGAAUAAGGAUCGGCUAACUCCGUGCCAGCAGCCGCGGGAAUACGGAGGGUUCAAGCGUUAUCCGGAUUUAUUGGGGUUAAAGGGGGCGUAGGCGGUCGGAUAAGGUAGAGGUGAAAUCCCGAGGCUCAACUUCGGAAUUGCCUCUGAUACUGUUCGGCUUGAGAGUAGUUGCGGUAGGCGGAAUGUAUGGUGUAGCGGUGAAAUGCUUAGAGAUCAUACAGAACACCGAUUGCGAAGGCAGCUUACCAGGCUACUUCUGACGUUGAGGCACGAAAGCGUGGGGAGCAAACAGGAUUAGAUACCCCGGUAGUC